GAUGAACGCUAGCGAUAGGCUUAACACAUGCAAGUCGAGGGGCUGCAUGGUCUUAGCUUGCUAAGACUGAUGGCGACCGGCGCACGGGUGCGUAACGCGUAUGCAACUUGCCUCACAGAGGGGGAUAACCCGUCGAAAGACGGACUAAUACCGCGUACACUUGGAGGGAGGCAUCUCCCAUCAAGGAAAAGAAAUUCGCUGUGAGAUAGGCAUGCGCCCCAUUAGCUAGUUGGUGAGGUAACGGCUCACCAAGGCAACGAUGGGUAGGGGAACUGAGAGGUUGAACCCCCACACUGGUACUGAGACACGGACCAGACUCCUACGGGAGGCAGCAGUGAGGAAUAUUGGUCAAUGGGCGAGAGCCUGAACCAGCCAAGUCGCGUGAAGGAUGACUGUCUUAUGGAUUGUAAACUUCUUUUGUAGGGGAAUAAAGAACGGUACGUGUACCGUAGUGAAUGUACCCUACGAAUAAGCAUCGGCUAACUCCGUGCCAGCCGCCGCGGUAA
rnacentral:rRNA from 1 species